CAACUAUGGAACUAUUGUUAAAAUAACUAUUUCGAAAUGUGUUUAUAUUAAAUAGAAAUGCAAUUAAAUUGACUGCAUGUUUGUUAAAAAUACCAUGCUGUUGACAGUCCAUGGUAUUAUUAACUAAAAUUCAUGGUACUGCGGUCGCCUGGAAAAAAGUGCAGAAGACGCCAUAUUAUUUACAUUAUUAGGAGCUCCGCAAAAAAACCAUUUUAAAAUUGCUCAAAUUGGGAAAAAUAAAUAAAUUAUUCAUGGCGAAUUGAAAACUACACCACAUCAAGGUUACAUGCUCAAAAUAGGAGAAAUGCUACCGCUGAAUAGGUUCUAAAAAUAUGAUUGAAUCACAAAUCUUGCAAAGGAUUCAGGAGGAGAUCUUGAGAAUGUUCCCCUCGGAGAAUCUAUGCGCUGUUGAGAAACAAUCAUGAGAAACAUGAUGACGUCGAAAUACGAAC